UGUAACACAGAACACUUAAUCAUACAAAAAAUAUAUACAUAGAGCAUACAUCAAAGAGUGGUGUGAUCUAAGGAAGAGAACUAUUCUAUUAUAAUAGUAAAGUAACAGAAUUAAAACGAUCACAGUUGGUUAUUGAGAGUGACCUUGGUGAGAUGUAAUAAUUUAAUGUUUAGUAGUGGCAACAUAUUUAUUUAAAAAGCUAUGAAUGACUCUAACAAUAAAACAUUUUCUAUUACCAUAAAGUAUGCUCCAGUUAAAGUCAAAAGCUCUUAUUCUUCGCCUUCACAAACCCAUGAUCCAUUGGAAAAUAAGCAGGGAUUACAUAAAGCCACCCCCACUUUUACUCAGAAUGGAAAUAAUUCCGUUCAAUCUAUACUAAAAAAUCGAAUAAAUGAUGCAUCCUACUACUCUCCAUCAUCUGGACGACGUGUUCGACUCUUUCUCCAAGAUGAACAAACUUCAAUUUGACAUUACUAUUAUAGAUUAUGAUGAAAGUUCCUAAUUGUUGAACUAAUAGUUUAUUGGAACUGCUCAUUCAAGUGUUGUAUGCAAUCAGCCAAGUGGAAAAUAGACGAUGAUGCACUUCCAGAGUUGAUUCUAACUAAUAAUUAUUACCUUUUUAUUUUCAAAUGAUACCUAUUCACAAAUUCCACAGAUUUAUAUUAGAAUAAAUUAUACCAUUAUUUCAAA
rnacentral:lncRNA from 1 species